rnacentral:rRNA from 1 species
GUGGGGAAUAUUGGACAAUGGGCGAAAGCCUGAUCCAGCCAUGCCGCGUGUGUGAAGAAGGUCUUCGGAUUGUAAAGCACUUUAAGUUGGGAGGAAGGGCAGUAAGUUAAUACCUUGCUGUUUUGACGUUACCGACAGAAUAAGCACCGGCUAACUUCGUGCCAGCAGCCGCGGUAAUACGAAGGGUGCAAGCGUUAAUCGGAAUUACUGGGCGUAAAGCGCGCGUAGGUGGUUUUGUAAGUUGGAGGUGAAAUCCCCGGGCUCAACCUGGGAACUGCCUCCAAAACUACUGGGCUAGAGUACGGUAGAGGGUAGUGGAAUUUCCUGUGUAGCGGUGAAAUGCGUAGAUAUAGGAAGGAACACCAGUGGCGAAGGCGACUACCUGGACUGAUACUGACACUGAGGUGCGAAAGCGUGGGGAGCAAACAGGAUUAGAUACCCCGGUAGUCC